rnacentral:lncRNA from 1 species
CCUUCCUUCUGAUCUUGCGAGAUAUGAAAGCAUUGAUGAUGCUGUUACUUAUCUAGUAAGGUCUGUAUGUGAACUUGAAAUCCAUGGAGAUGUUGGUUCAGUUCAGUGGUAUGAAGUUCGUUUAGAAUGAAAGGAUUCAAGCCUUAUUAGCCCCCGUGAAUCAUGGACUGAGAGAUUGGCAGUGUUUUAGCUCAGUGAACUGAGAGUGUGAUUUCACUUACAGCAAUCAUUAGUUUGUAAAAGAUGACCACAUAUUGGUUAGGACUAAAGGCCCUUUUGGCACUACAACUAGAACACCAAGUUUUGUAGCA